GAUGAACGCUGGCGGCGUGCUUAACACAUGCAAGUCGAACGGAAAGGCUCCUGCUUGCUGGGGUACUCGAGUGGCGAACGGGUGAGUAACACGUGGGUGAUCUGCCCUGCACUUCGGGAUAAGCCUGGGAAACUGGGUCUAAUACCGGAUAGGACGAUGGUUUGGAUGCCAAUGUGGAAAGUUUUUUCGGUGUGGGAUGAGCUCGCGGCCUAUCAGCUUGUUGGUGGGGUAAUGGCCUACCAAGGCGUCGACGGGUAGCCGGCCUGAGAGGGUGUACGGCCACAUUGGGACUGAGAUACGGCCCAGACUCCUACGGGAGGCAGCAGUGGGGAAUAUUGCACAAUGGGCGCAAGCCUGAUGCAGCGACGCCGCGUGGGGGAUGACGGCCUUCGGGUUGUAAACUCCUUUCGCUAGGGACGAAGCGCAAGUGACGGUACCUGGAGAAGAAGCACCGGCUAACUACGUG
rnacentral:rRNA from 1 species